rnacentral:rRNA from 1 species
AUACCCUAUUAUUUUUAUUGUAAAUAGAAAAACCUGAGUAUUAGUAGUUAUGAUCUUGAAACUUAAAGAAUUUGGCGGUAUUAUAGUCUAUUUAGAGGAAUCUGUUUUGUAAUCGAUAGUCCACGUUGAACCUUACUUGUAUUAAAUUUCUUGUAUACCGCUGUUUAUGAAUAUACUUUUAGGUUAUUUUCUUAAUAUUUGAUUAAAUAAUAUUUCAAGUCAAGGUGCAGUAAUGUACAAGUUGAAUAAUGGAUUACAAUAAAUUUUAUUUAUUACGGAUAACUGUUGAAAUAUAAGUAUUGAAGGUGGAUUUAAUUGUAAUUUUUUGAAGAUUGUUAAAAUGAUUUAUAGCUCUAUAAUAUGCACACAUCGCCC